UACAGAGGGUGCAAGCGUUAAUCGGAAUUACUGGGCGUAAAGCGCACGUAGGUGGCUGGGUAAGUUGGAUGUGAAAUCCCCGGGCUUAACUUGGGAAUUGCAUUCAAGACUGCCUUGCUAGAGUGUGGAAGAGGGAAGCGGAAUUCCAGGUGUAGCGGUGAAAUGCGUAGAUAUCUGGAGGAACAUCAGUGGCGAAGGCGGCUUCCUGGUCCAACACUGACACUGAGGUGCGAAAGCUAGGGGAGCAAACAGG
rnacentral:rRNA from 1 species